rnacentral:ncRNA from 1 species
UAGCGCCAGAACCUAAAAUGGUUGACGAGGUUGAUAGUUAUCGAAAUAUUCGGCGGAUGCUAUCACGGUGAGAAUCGUUAAAUAUAUGACAAAACAUAAAAUUAAUCUUAUGGACAAAACAUAU